UGACUGUUGUUAUCCAAGGAAGAAUUGCUUUCUUCAAAGGCAUCAUCAGAUUCAUCAUCUGAAGACGCAACACUCGAAACAUCCGAUGAAAACGAAUCAUCUUCUUGAUCAUUAUAACCCAUGAACCCGAUCUUGUUUUCUUGAUCUAAUGAAGAAGAACCCAUCUGCAUCACCAUCAUGCUAUGAAGGUAUGAAUGAACGAUCUUCUCUUAGAUAUAUAAUCUUGAACCCAAAGUUAAAGUGAGAGAUGAGGAGGAUUUAAAGGCGUGAUUGAUUGGAUAAGGGUACA
rnacentral:lncRNA from 1 species